rnacentral:rRNA from 1 species
UACGUAGGGUGCGAGCGUUAAUCGGAAUUACUGGGCGUAAAGCGUGCGCAGGCGGUUUUGUAAGACAGAUGUGAAACCCCCGGGCUUAACCUGGGAACUGCGUUUGUGACUGCAAGGCUAGAGUACGGCAGAGGGGGGUGGAAUUCCUGGUGUAGCAGUGAAAUGCGUAGAUAUCAGGAGGAACACCGAUGGCGAAGGCAGCCCCCUGGGCCUGUACUGACGCUCAUGCACGAAAGCGUGGGGAGCAAACAGG